GAGGAAUAUUGGUCAAUGGACGAGAGUCUGAACCAGCCAAGUAGCGUGCAGGAUGACGGCCCUAUGGGUUGUAAACUGCUUUUGUAUGGGGAUAAAGUCAAUCACGUGUCCUUGUUUGCAGGUACCAUACGAAUAAGGACCGGCUAAUUCCGUGCCAGCAGCCGCGGUAAUACGGAAGGUCCGGGCGUUAUCCGGAUUUAUUGGGUUUAAAGGGAGCGUAGGCUGGAGAUUAAGUGUGUUGUGAAAUGUAGACGCUCAACGUCUGACUUGCAGCGCAUACUGGUUUCCUUGAGUACGCACAACGUUGGCGGAAUUCGUCGUGUAGCGGUGAAAUGCUUAGAUAUGACGAAGAACUCCGAUUGCGAAGGCAGCUGACGGGAGCGCAACUGACGCUUAAGCUCGAAGGUGCGGGUAUCAAACAGGAUUAGAUACCCUGGUAGUCCGCACAGUAAACGAUGGAUGCCCGCUGUUGGUACCUGGUAUCAGCGGCUAAGCGAAAGCAUUAAGCAUCCCACCUGGGGAGUACGCCGGCAACGGUG
rnacentral:rRNA from 1 species